UACGUAGGGUGCAAGCGUUGUCCGGAAUUAUUGGGCGUAAAGAGCUCGUAGGCGGUUUGUCGCGUCGGCUGUGAAAACUCGGGGCUCAACCCCGAGCCUGCAGUCGAUACGGGCAGACUAGAGUGCUGUAGGGGAGACUGGAAUUCCUGGUGUAGCGGUGAAAUGCGCAGAUAUCAGGAGGAGCACCGGUGGCGAAGGCGGGUCUCUGGGCAGUAACUGACGCUGAGGAGCGAAAGCGUGGGGAGCGAACAGG
rnacentral:rRNA from 1 species